AACGAACGCUGACGGCGGGGCUUAGGCAUGCAAGUUGAGCGAUGAAGCUCCUUCGGGAGUGGAUUAGCGGCGGACGGGUGAGUAACACGUGGGUAACCUGCCCCAUAGAGGGGAAUAGCCUUCCGAAAGGAAGCUUAAUACCGCAUAAGAUUGUAGUCACGCAUGGUAUAGCAAUUAAAGGAGCAAUCCGCUAUGAGAUGGACCCGCGUCGCAUUAGCUAGUUGGUGAGGUAACGGCUCACCAAGGCGACGAUGCGUAGCCGACCUGAGAGGGUGAUCGGCCACAUUGGGACUGAGACACGGCCCAGACUCCUACGGGAGGCAGCAGUGGGGAAUAUUGCACAAUGGGGGAAACCCUGAUGCAGCAACGCCGCGUGAGUGAUGGCGGUCUUCGGAUUGUAAAGCUCUGUCUUCAGGGACGAUAAUGACGGUACCUGAGGAGGAAGCCACGGCUAACUACGUGCCAGCAGCCGCAGUAACAC
rnacentral:rRNA from 1 species